AUGCUUACUUUGGCAGCAUAUAUACUACAACUGGAAUCAUACAGAGAAGAUUAGCAUGGCCCCUGUGCAAGGAUGACACGCAAAUUCGUGAAGUGUUCCAUAUUUUUU
rnacentral:snRNA from 1 species